UGCUGGGGAUGGAGACCAGGGCCUCACUGAGCCACGAGAAAGGGUCUGGCUAAGUUGCUGAGGCUGGCCUCGAACUGGUAAAUUCUCCUGCCUCCGCCUCCCGAGCAGCUGGGAUGACAGGUGCUGUGAUGUGGUGGCCGAGGGAGGUGAGCGGAGCCUGCGUGGGGGACACGGCUGAGCAGACCUGUGCCUUGAAGCAAAUGCUUUCAAGCUGCACACCAGGGCCUGCUGAGGGCAGGUUCUGAGAAGGUCCCAGGGCUUCUCGGAGCAUCUGCUCUGCCAGCGCGGGAGAGGUGGUGUGGGGCCAGCUCAGCUCUGUGUCCCCAGGGGCUCCCGCCUUGGACAUGGUCAUCAGCCUCACUUUUCAGGAGAGGAAACUGAGACCCCAGGUAGGAGGACUUGCCCUUUAAUGACCACUUUGCAUUGUCCCUCUCUGAGUAGCAGGUGACAGAGGAGUGGCAUGUGGAUGACACACAGCUGGUCAACCCUGGAUGGCUAUGAGCCAGCCUGGAAGGAGCCCAUGUGGUGGGAGGCGGUGGGAGAGGGCCUCUGAGCUGCCCCAGCUGGAACUUCCCUGGACCCCCAGACAGCAGAGGGCAGAAGGGACAGCGGCACCCAGAGACAGCUGCUUCUGUUCCUUUAAUGGCUCGUGACUAGAGGUGACUGUCUCCUGUGAAAAGUGAGGCUGAGAACUUGGGGGUCAAGUCCAACCCCCAACUUGCCAACAGGGUGACGUCAGACAGGGUCCCCUCUCUCUGAGCCUCAGCUUCCUCCUCUCUGAGGAAGACCUCUGAUACCCACUGCAGGGCUGCUGUGGGCUUCUGGGAAGUGGCCCUGGAGGAUGCCCCAGGUGGGCACCACUGGACGUCUUCUCUGCCGUGUGCCCAGGCACUGUUCCAGGGCCACCCUGAGCCAGCUCGGCAGCUGUCACGUCCACCUUCGGAGCUGAUGUGCAGACAAGGAGGUGGAGGAGAAAGGGUUAGAGCAGGUAGUGUCGCCCACAGCUGCUGAGGGGACUCCAGGCCAGCUCCAGAUCUGUCCCCACUGUCCGCAUGGUCUAGUUUAGUUGAGGGCUGGCGCAGGCCGGUGUGUCCCUGUGAUCGUGCACGUUAACAACAGUCUCUGGUAUCACCGAUGCCAAAGGAGCUGCUCCUCAUUUUGUCCUCACAAGCACCCAGGAGGCACCCUGUGGCUUAGGUCUGGAACUGAGGCUCAGAGAUGGGGUGGGGUGUGCUGCUGACAUGGACUGGCAAAGCUCCGCCUCGGCCAGACAGGCGCUGCCCCGAGGGGCUGAGCAGGGCUCCCUUGCUUCUCCUGCUCCCGGAGGGCACAGGGACCUAAAUGGCAAUCUGCUGUGUGCCGGGACAGCUGAGUAGUGCCUGGCCUCUCCAAUGCCGGGGCGAAUGGUCCAGCACCCGCCGCCCAGAGCAGAGAUGCCUGGAGCCUGGCAUGGCAGUUGCUGCCAGUCCAUGGCUGGAAGCCCGAGAGAGCAGGGUCCAUACCCAGGUCAUACCAAGGCUGCAGCAGAAAGUGCCUCCGAGCAAGGAGACUGUGUUCUAAGAGCAAGUGCCUCUUUCUAAAACCAAAAUAGUGUUCCCCCUUCACUCCAGACCCGGUGGCCAAAUUAUAGUAACUUCCUAGAUCACGGAGAAGGAAAAAAGCCCCAUUGCCAAGAAGAAAAACCACGCACAGCCUGGCGCGGACAGGAGAGUGACCAGGGUCCUCAAGGAUCCUCUGUCUAAGUCCUGAGGAGGAAUUUGGACUUGAACCAGCUGAAUGCCAGCAUUCUGAAUGGAAGCCCAGGUCACCCUCUGGACGCUCCUGCUGCCUUCUGAAGAGCCGGCUGGGUGCCGGGGCUGGCAUUGUGUGGGGCUUCCCCCCUGCACUGCAGCUGAGCCACCACGAGAAAUGCCCGUGGGUCUCCACAAAGCCCCAGCACCGUCUCCAGGGACCGUGUGCCUACCACAGCUCUCACUGUCGGCCCUGUGUCCACCCUCUCACCCCCACCCCCCAUUUCUCCCGAGAAAAGGAAAUCCAGCGAGGAGAGGUGUCCAGGGUCAUGUGCCUGCAAGCAGCUGAGUGGGGCUUUCCAGCUGGGAUCUGGCCGACACAGUGGCUGGAGUCCCCCAAAGCCACCACCCACCUGUCCACUUCUGAUGUCCCAGGUGGGGGAAGAUUCCAGAGGUGGGGACUGGAGGAAGGACAGCAAUGGAUACAGGUUGAUGGACGGGUGGGCGGGUGAGUGACAGGCACACAGCAAACAGGAGAGGCUGCAGGGAGGUGAGCACUGGACCGUGCAGAGCCUGAGCGAAGAUGGAGGCUGGGUGCUGGAGAGGAAGCCACCCAGGCCACUGUGAGGCUGAGGGGAGGGCUGUGCUCAGCCUGUGCUCUAGGGAGCAAUGGGAUGGCUGGGUGGCCUUGGAGGGGACAGUGAGGAAGAUACCAAUGAGGAAAGGCCACUGCACACUGCCCUGGCGGUCAUGAAGACCUGGCCCCAGGUGUGGCCGAGGUGCCAAGGGAAGAGAUGGAGAGCAUAUGGAGGGACUGGGGACACCCGGGAUGGGGGGCGGGCACGAGGGAGCCAGAGCAGACACAGGGACAGAUUGGUGCAGGACAUCAGGUGGGCACUCAGGAGGCAAGCCAGUCACUGUCCACUUAGGUUCUUAAAGCUCCCUGCCCCACCCCUCACUGACCAGCACACUUUGAGCUUAAGUUCCCAGCUUCCCCGGCGAUGUGUGGGGCUGGUGGCUUCCCUGGCCUGGGCUGCCCUGCCUCUCCGUCAGGGUGUCUCCAGCAGGCCACACGCGUGGUGCUUUUGUGCAAUCGGCCAUCUACGAAAUUCAGGGUGGCUCACCCCAGCACCUGGAGCACGAGAGCAGGGGCUGGCCCGGCACCAGCCCCGCGGGGUGCCCAUCCUGGGCGGAGGCACAGCUGGCAGCAGACACUCCUGCGGAGUCACAGGUUCUCUGCUCGAGGGACAGGAAUGGAAUUAGGUUGUCCUUGAGAGUCUUCUCACCAGAGCCCCAGGGGUGGCUGGCCCUGAGCUGGCUCACUGAGGCAACGACAGGGUCUCCUUGUCAGUCGAGGAGUUCAGACGCUGCAGGUGGGGGGCGGCAUAGUCGCCUCUCAGCCGACCAGCCCAGGGACGAGUGGCCUUCCCUUCCCCUCCCCCAGCGGCCAGUCCCCCACUUCCUUCUGCCCCAGGUGGUGGCUCUGCUGCCUCCUGGCAAGUUUGGCUCUUUCCCAGGGGAGCUCCUGAGUGUCAUCCAAGCGUCUCCAUGCGGGGCUGCCUGGGACACGGGAGCACCCUAGCUGGCCCUCAGCAGGUACUUCCCCAGGCUUCAAAACUCAAGAGGAGUGCAGGAGAGGCAGCAGAGUCUCCAGGAAGCUGCUCUUCCGCCAGGGCUCCUUGGGUGCCUCGGUGGGCAGGGCAGGGUUCACCCCAGGCCUCUGUGAGGGCAGAAUUCCUGCCUCUUUCAGCAAGCGGGGGGCCAGGGCCAGGGAGGGCUGUGGUCGCCAGACCUUCAGACCUGGCUGUCUCCCUUGGUUUGCUAACAGAGCUUCGGAGGAGACGACCUUGACCGCCUUUGAAGCCAUGAACUAGAGAGGAAG